GAAAGUCAGGUGUGAAAGCCUACAGCUUAACUGUAGAACUGCACUUGAAACUCCCAACCUAGAGUAUGGAAGGGGCAGAUGGAAUUAGUGGUGUAGGGGUAAAAUCCGUAGAUAUCACUAGGAAUACCGAAAGCGAAGGCGAUCUGCUGGGACAUUACUGACGCUAAGGCGUGAAAGCGUGGGGAGCAAACAGGAUUAGAUACCCUGGUAGUCCACGCCCUAAACGAUGAACACUAGUCGUCGCUCUGCUAGUCAGGGCGGUGAUGCACUUAACAGAUUAAGUGUUCCGCCUGGGGAGUACGGUCGCAAGAUUAAAACUCAAAGGAAUAGACGGGGACCCGCACAAGUGGUGGAGCAUGUGGUUUAAUUCGAAGAUACGCGAAGAACCUUACCUGGCCUUGACAUUGAUUGAACACUCUAGAGAUAGAGUGGUGCCCUUCGGGGAACAUGAAAACAGGUGCUGCACGGCUGUCGUCAGCUCGUGUCGUGAGAUGUUGGGUUAAGUCCCGCAACGAGCGCAACCCUCGUCCUUAGUUGCUAGCAGUUCGGCUGAGCACUCUAAGGAGACUGCCUUCGCAAGGAGGAGGAAGGUGAGGACGACGUCAAGUCAUCAUGGCCCUUAUGGCCAGGGCUACACACGUGCUACAAUGGGGCGUACAGAGUGUUGCGAUACCGUGAGGUG
rnacentral:rRNA from 1 species